UACGAAGGGGGCUAGCGUUGCUCGGAAUCACUGGGCGUAAAGGGUGCGUAGGCGGGUCUUUAAGUCAGGGGUGAAAUCCUGGAGCUCAACUCCAGAACUGCCUUUGAUACUGAAGAUCUUGAGUUCGGGAGAGGUGAGUGGAACUGCGAGUGUAGAGGUGAAAUUCGUAGAUAUUCGCAAGAACACCGGUGGCGAAGGCGGCUCACUGGCCCGAUACUGACGCUGAGGUGCGAAAGCGUGGGGAGCAAACAGGG
rnacentral:rRNA from 1 species